UUUCACAUUUCAAUUUGUAUGUCUGAAUUCAAUGCAGUUAUGUGUGGUACAACAUUGAUGUUGAUCUCUCAAAAGACUUUUCAAGUCCGCAGUUAUAGUUUUUCACAUAUACAUCUUUUUUAUAGCUCCUAAAAUGAGCAAAUAAGCUGUGCAUCAUCUCUGGUGUUUGGGAAGGAAAUGACUGAAUAUGAUGAAGCCAAUUGAUGAAGAUAUCAAUUGAAUGGCCACCGAGUGCAUCACUGCUACCUGAACCCAUCAGUUAUCUUCUGUGAAGACUGCAUUCACAAACCGCUCUACUGCGACAGCUCAGAUGUUACGGCCUGCAAAGUAAACAUCACAGCUAAACAACGAGAGCUAGUUGUGGUGGGAUUCUUUUGGCCAAUGUCCCCAACAAGAAUCAAUGACAUCUAGACCAGGUGGAGUGUGAGGAGGACCGUCAGAGACUCCAGCCAGCCGAGCCAUGGAUUGCUCUCACUGUUACCAUCAGGCAGACGUUAUCACAGAACCUACACCAGCAGACAGUGAGACAAGUUCCUUUCACAGGCAAUCAGACUGAACUGAACUCAUACCAGUAAAACCAUACACACCCCACCAACCUCAUAUGCCCUGCACUCUUAUCAGUUAUGCUGACUGGACUCAAUAUUAUUAUGCACCCUGACAUUCUGUUUGCACUAAUUCAUACCGUGCUUUACUGCAGAGAUGUAUGUGUACUGUGAUUAUUAUUGUUUUCAAUUCAUGCUCUUUGUAUAGCAUAAUUUUUAACAUAUAUUGUUAUCUACCUGAAUUGAGUCCCU